UUUCCUUUUAUGGAGUUGUUUUUCUGCUAAUGCAGCACUUUCCUCACAACCCCCUCCUGUAAGUUUUAGAGAAUAUAUACCCAUCCUCACAGCAAAUAUUGGGAAUCUCUUGAUGUGAGCUGUGUUGAGAAGUUGUCUCUGUCUCAAUAAAAGUUCACUGAUUCCCCAUCUGCUGCAGGUGUCCGGUUGUCUUCAUUCUCCGCCAGCCUGGAUCCGCUCCAGGCCAAACUGGAACGGGGGGGAGGACAUCAGCCGUGGUCUGAGUGAACGGAGUUUGGACAAAAGCUGUGUGCACACAAAAACAAGGUAAGCAGACCUUUUAUUUCUGCUAUAUUGAACAUUAUAAAAAUACUUAGUGUCCAAACUCCUAGUAAUUCAUAACCAAAAUUGUCUGGCUUACUUAAGGCUUGCUGAGAAUCAGACAAGUGAAUAAGAGAUAAGUGAAUAAGAAAUAAGUGAAUAAGUGAAUAAAGAUAAGAGUGAACUGAGGUCUGACCACGGUUGCAGCCGACGGGUUGCUCUCCGGUGUCGGAUAAAUACCUCAGUGCAGGUCUGGGACCUUGAAAGGGUUUAUUAGUAACGCCUUUCUAAACAAAUUAAAAGGUUAAAGGCCUUGAGAAUAUUUUUUAGUAAUAUUCUCUAAACUACAGAAGGGUUAGGAAGGCCCAGAGGACUUUAUUAGAAAAGAUCCUCUAAAACUUAAAAAGGAGAAGUACUGGUUGGAGUCCAAAGGAGGGGUCCCUUUGAUCAAUAGGAGAAAACGGAUCUCUUCUUAAAACCCCGAUGAUUUUAGUGUUUUAAAUGUUUUGAUGUUCUGUUUGAUAUUGGACACACAUAAAUACACGCUGAAUGCUUGCUGUGGAACACUGGGCAGGACAGUUUGUUCUCCGUUGUUCACAGAUUACACAAUUAAAGGAACUAGGUUCCUCUUUUGGUUAAAAUAAUACACCACACAUAGAAUUUUUUUACACAUUUAUUACAUACAUAAGGAGGGUAAUGAGUGACUGCAGGUAAUGUAUGAAGUGUGAAUGAGACGUGUGAACAAGGUGACAACCAACUAGCACCCCUAUCAGGAAGCUCUAGGCAAGGUUACCCGCCAGACUCCGGUUUGGUAGAAGCUUGGUAACACCUGAAGGGAUAUUUCAGUGCUGACUCACCUUUAAAGCAGCGCCCCAGCUGAUUAGUGCCUAACAGAGGCAGAAACCCAGCUGGCCCAAAUUCUCCUUUAAAAUCAA